GGUUGUAAAGUUCUUUUACGAGGGAUAAUUAUGAUAGUACUUCGUGAAUAAGUGACAGCAAACUAUGUGCCAGCAGCUGCGGUAAUACAUAGGUCGCGAGCAUUAUUCGGAUUUAUUGGGCGUAAAGCAAGCGCAGGCGGAUGUGUAAGUUCUGUGUUAAAUGCAGCUACUCAAUAGUUGUAUGCACCGAAUACUACAUGUCUAGAUUGUGGUAGGGAGUUUCGGAAUUAAGCAUGGAGCGGUGGAAUGUGUAGAUAUGCUUAAGAACACCAGAGGCGAAGGCGGAAACUUAGGCCAUAAAUGACGCUUAGGCUUGAAAGUGUGGGGAGCAAAUGGGAUUAGAUACCCCAGUAGUCCACACCGUAAACGAUGGGUAUUAGAUAUUAGGGCUUUAGCUUUAGUGUUGUAGCUUACGCGUUAAAUACCCCGCCUGGGUAGUACAUAUGCAAAUAUGAAACUCAAAGGAAUUGACGGGGACCUGAACAAGUGGUGGAGCAUGUUGCUUAAUUCGAUAAUACACGAAAA
rnacentral:rRNA from 1 species